GAUGAACGCUGGCGGCGUGCCUAAUACAUGCAAGUCGAGCGAACAGACGAGGAGCUUGCUCCUCUGACGUUAGCGGCGGACGGGUGAGUAACACGUGGAUAACCUACCUAUAAGACUGGGAUAACUUCGGGAAACCGGAGCUAAUACCGGAUAAUAUAUUGAACCGCAUGGUUCAAUAGUGAAAGACGGUUUUGCUGUCACUUAUAGAUGGAUCCGCGCCGCAUUAGCUAGUUGGGAAGGUAACGGCUUACCAAGGCAACGAUGCGUAGCCGACCUGAGAGGGUGAUCGGCCACACUGGAACUGAGACACGGUCCAGACUACUACGGGAGGCAGCAGUAGGGAAUCUUCCGCAAUGGGCGAAAGCCUGACGGAGCAACGCCGCGUGAGUGAUGAAGGUCUUCGGAUCGUAAAACUCUGUUAUUAGGGAAGAACAAAUGUGUAAGUAACUAUGCACGUCUUGACGGUACCUAAUCAGAAAGCCACGGCUAACUACGUG
rnacentral:rRNA from 1 species